rnacentral:rRNA from 1 species
UGAGUAACGCGUGGAUUAUCUCGCCCUGGAGGGUGGGGGACGUAAACCCGGGGAAACGUCGGGCUAAUACCGCAUAUGACCGUGAGGUCAAAGGGGGGUCGCAAGAUCUCUCGCCAUAGGAGGAGUCCGCGUCCGAUUAGCUAGUUGGUAGGGUAAUGGCCUACCAAGGCGACGAUCGGUAGCCGGCCUGAGAGGGUGAUCGGCCACACUGGAACUGAGACACGGUCCAG